rnacentral:rRNA from 1 species
AUUGAACGCUGGCGGCAUGCUUUACACAUGCAAGUCGAACGGCAGCGCGGGCUUCGGCCUGGCGGCGAGUGGCGAGCGGGUGAGUAAUGCAUCGGAACGUGCCCAGUAGUGGGGGAUAGCCCAGCGAAAGCCGGAUUAAUACCGCAUACGACCUGAGGGUGAAAGCGGGGGACCGAAAGGCCUCGCGCUAUUGGAGCGGCCGAUGUCGGAUUAGCUAGUUGGUGGGGUAAAGGCUUACCAAGGCGACGAUCCGUAGCUGGUCUGAGAGGACGACCAGCCACACUGGGACUGAGACACGGCCCAGACUCCUACGGGAGGCAGCAGUGGGGAAUUUUGGACAAUGGGGGCAACCCUGAUCCAGCCAUGCCGCGUGCGGGAAGAAGGCCUGCGGGUUGUAAACCGCUUUUGUUCGGGAAGAAAUCCUCUGGGCUAAUACCCCGGGGGGAUGACGGUACCGGAAGAAUAAGCACCGGCUAACUACGUG